CCCGAGGUACUGGAGGCAGCUGUGCUUGUUGUCAGUCCUGUGCACCAUAGAUGCUUCGUGCAUUCAUAAACUGAAGACAGAGGUGACUGCUGCUUCUGUGCCACUCUGUAUCACUUCUCCAUGCUGGAACAACCCCAUUCUACCCUACAAACCUUCCUUGGAUGGUCUCUGUGGUCUGGAAAUACUAUGGGAUGCUCUCGGCAGCUUUGAAAGUAAGGCUUUAUGAGCGUUGUGCCGCUGGGCUCUCCAAGGAGAAGAAGCAUCCCUGAGCCUCCUUCCAUCAGGAUUUACCAGCCGCGAGGGAGAAGAACACCUCGUACCCAGCAGAGGAGUGAUGCAGCCAUUGCUCUGCCCCCGGCAGUAGCCUCCUGUUUGCAGAGCCCCUGUGCCUUCAGCUUGUGCCUCUUCCCUGGCAGGUUUGCAUGUGGCUGGCUCCUGCGUGGGACACAACACAAGUCAUUUUCUGAUGUGACUGGGCUUCUUGCAGCUCAUUUUCUUUGAAGUGGAACCUCAACCCCAAAAUAUACAAAACCAAGUUGAUAUUUUGAACCCAGGAAAUGAUGUGUGGGUUUGAACUUUGAUACAAAUGAACCCAAGUUGGUAUGAAAGCCAGCAAAGAUUGGUUAAAUCAAAUAUAUUUAAGGUGGUCACAUCGGCAUCCUCCCUUCCCCCAGGCAUGGGGCUCUCACAAUGUGAGGGGAAGUCCAACAGCUGGGGUGUCACCCAGCCACAGACCCUUGAGAAGCCCAAAACAUGCCAGGAAUCAACCAAAUCAAGCCAGUGUUCAACGGUCUCCAAAUCCCUGGAAAUUUGCUUCUUCCUUGCUGGGGGGACGGACUCAAGAGAGUGAUGCCUGGGCAUCCCACCCCAGCCCACACACCCUGCUGGCAGCCCCUCCAUCACCAGCUGCAUCCUUGGCCCACUCCUGCAACAGCUGGCCUGGCCCUCUCCCUGUGUGUCCUGCAGCCUGGAAACGCACUCCAAAAAGGGAGUUUUUUCUGAGGGCAUGAAUUCAGCCUUUACCACCUUCUUCACUGUCAUAAAUCACGUUUAGAUGGGGUACCACCUCUGGAGCGGUUCCACUUCUCCACUCCGGUGAGAUGUCAGCCCCAGCUCUGUUUAACUUCUGUAAUCAAGACGCAAUUAAGUGGGUUUUGUCAGCAUUGGUCACGUUUGGGAUGUCUUCAGCUGAAUGCAGUAUGUAAACUACAUUUCAGUGCAAUGCUCUGAGGACACAACGAAGCUGAAGAAAUUUGGCCAGGUGCCGGAUGGUUGGGCUGGCAGGCACAGAUAGAGGCUGCUGAAGCCUUCAUCCCCCAGUUCCAGCAACACAGCCCUCCAGAGCCUGUUUUAUGAAGAAAACACCGUCAGCCCUGUGCUAGCUGCCCAAGCAGCCCGAUGCACAGCUGGGAGGCCCUGAGGAGCGGGAAGCCCGUAAAAAUUUUGCUGUUGGUUUGCAAGGGUGAAGGUGUCAACCCAGGGUUUCUAAGCUCCUGGCCUGAUGACCCAGCAUCGGGGAAGGGCUCCUUGCUGCUUGUGUGCCACCUUGGCUGGAUGCCCACGCCAACCUUUUGUCUCCAAAGGAAAGCUGGAGGAUAUCUCAGGUGUUAGGACAUGUGGUGAAAGGCUGCUUCAGUCCCGAGCGCAGGGUGAUGUGCAGAGGCAUGAAGGCAGCCUUAUGAAAGGUGGUUUGAAAUAUUCUUGGCUACGAAGCGGAGGGGAAGUACAUGAAAAGAAAACAAAAUGUACACCAAAUCCACCCAAAAUAAUUGCAACUGGGCCGUGAGACUUUUCUGCUUGAAAGUGCAAAGAUACGGCCACGCUCGCCCGCGUGCUUUGCUUCUAAUGGUUUAAAAUGACUGUGUAAUUAGUAAUUUGGAAGAUAUAUGAUAGAUUACUGCUGUUUCAGGAAUCGCUAUUUUAAAUGGAGGCACUGCAAAUACCCUCCCAAAAUGUGAAGGGAGCACUUAUGACCCAUGAAGUUACCACGGCAGAGGAUGCUUAAAAUCGCCUGUUGCGACUCAUGUUAUACUGCUUAUAGAGCAGGUGCUU